AUUAAAUAAAUAAAUAAAUAUUAAAAAAAGAACUAUACAAAAAAGGUUACCAUGGCCCCUGUGCAAGGAUGACACACAAAUUCAUGAAGUGUUCCAUAUUAAA